rnacentral:rRNA from 1 species
UACGGGGGGGGCAAGCGUUGUUCGGAAUUACUGGGCGUAAAGGGCUCGUAGGCGGUCAACUAAGUCGGAUGUGAAAUCCCCAGGCUUAACCUGGGAACUGCAUCCGAUACUGGAUGGCUUGAAUCUGGGAGAGGGAUGCGGAAUUCCAGGUGUAGCGGUGAAAUGCGUAGAUAUCUGGAGGAACACCGGUGGCGAAGGCGGCAUCCUGGACCGGCAUUGACGCUGAGGAGCGAAAGCCAGGGGAGCAAACGGG